AGAGAAAGAAAAUUCGAUUCCCUUAGUAGCGGCGAGCGAAACGGGAAGAGCCCAAACCAACAAGCUUGCUUGUUGGGGUUGUAGGACACUCUAUACGGAGUUACAAAGGACGACAUUAGACGAAUCAUCUGGAAAGAUGAAUCAAAGAAGGUAAUAAUCCUGUAGUCGAAAAUGUUGUCUCUCUUGAGUGGAUCCUGAGUACGACGGAGCACGUGAAAUUCCGUCGGAAUCUGGGAGGACCAUCUCCUAAGGCUAAAUACUCUCUAGUGACCGAUAGUGAACCAGUACCGUGAGGGAAAGGUGAAAAGCACCCCGGAAGGGGAGUGAAAUAGAACCUGAAACCGUGUGCUUACAAGUAGUCAGAGCCCGUUAAUGGGUGAUGGCGUGCCUUUUGUAGAAUGAACCGGCGAGUUACGAUUUGAUGCAAGGUUAAGCAGUAAAUGUGGAGCCGUAGCGAAAGCGAGUCUGAAUAGGGCGUUUAGUAUUUGGUCGUAGACCCGAAACCAGGUGAUCUACCCUUGGUCAGGUUGAAGUUCAGGUAACACUGAAUGGAGGACCGAACCGACUUACGUUGAAAAGUGAGCGGAUGAACUGAGGGUAGCGGAGAAAUUCCAAUCGAACCUGGAGAUAGCUGGUUCUCUCCGAAAUAGCUUUAGGGCUAGCCUCAAGUGAUGAUUAUUGGAGGUAGAGCACUGUUUGGACGAGGGGCCCCUCUCGGGUUACCGAAUUCAGACAAACUCCGAAUGCCAAUUAAUUUAACUUGGGAGUCAGAACAUGGGUGAUAAGGUCCGUGUUCGAAAGGGAAACAGCCCAGACCACCAGCUAAGGUCCCAAAAUAUAUGUUAAGUGGAAAAGGAUGUGGCGUUGCCCAGACAACUAGGAUGUUGGCUUAGAAGCAGCCAUCAUUUAAAGAGUGCGUAAUAGCUCACUAGUCGAGUGACACUGCGCCGAAAAUGUACCGGGGCUAAACAUAUUACCGAAGCUGUGGAUUGUCCUUUGGACAAUGGUAGGAGAGCGUUCUAAGGGCGUUGAAGCAUGAUCGUAAGGACAUGUGGAGCGCUUAGAAGUGAGAAUGCCGGUGUGAGUAGCGAAAGACGGGUGAGAAUCCCGUCCACCGAUUGACUAAGGUUUCCAGAGGAAGGCUCGUCCGCUCUGGGUUAGUCGGGUCCUAAGCUGAGGCCGACAGGCGUAGGCGAUGGAUAACAGGUUGAUAUUCCUGUACCACCUAUA
rnacentral:rRNA from 1 species